rnacentral:misc_RNA from 1 species
GUGAAUCAUCAAAUUUUUGAACGCAAAUUGCGCCUUUUUCGGAAGGCAUGUCUGUUUGAGGGCACCAUUUAACAAAUAAUGUGUCGCGUUUUUUGUUGCACACGUUGAUGAGCUUUUCAAGAAUUUUAAAUUCUUGGGGGCGCAUAAUGUAAAGCGUGAAAGAUUUUUUCAGUUAGAGUGCCGUAAAAUAUUUGCUUGCGUUGUGAAAAAACCUAAUCGAGCAAUGGGUGUGGCAAUUUCUUUUUAUGUCUGCA